CAUAUGCUGAUGACAUACAGCAGGGGGUGUAUCCAAGAGGUUCAGUUCUCCCUCCUCCCCCUUAGAGAAGGCUGGUAUUUCUGUUCCCUGGAACACUGGAAAACCUGGCAGGUGAAGAAGGACAGGCCAAAGAUCAUUCUGCAUCAUCAAUUACCAUCGUCCCAACUACCACAAGCACAAUGAUCUGAGGCUCCUGUCCCCAACUGUGCAGCUAUUCAGGUAGGACCACCAAGCCCAUCUUUCCUGAAACUGAAGUCUCCUGGAUAUACUUGUCUCUCUCAAAUAGAAUGUGAGCUCCUUUAGAGAACAGAGUAUCAUUCUUCUGUUUGUAUCCCCCACACUGCUUAAAACAGUGUCAGACCAUUUACUCAUUUAUUUAUUUAUACAUCCAUUCAUUCAUUCCUCCAUUCAUCCUACCUGUCUUUCCAAACUUGCUUUACAUUAUUUCCCUACAUUCCGGCUUUAAAAAAGGACCACUAUAUGUAUGCUGUGUCUUUCACAAAGGCUAGCUACCCCUUCCCAUCUGCCUAGAAUUUAUUCUUUCUUCCUUGUGGCUCAAAAAACCCUUACCUUCUUUCAGAGUUCAAAUUAGGUACCACCUCUUCCUGGAAGCCUUCCACUAUCCUCCUCCUUGUCAGGCCUCUCUUCCUUCUCAAAUUAUUAGACACUUAACUUAUCUAUGUGACUACUCCUCUCCAGCCCUACAAAGCUGCCCAAACAUGUAAAAUUGAUAGUCUUUUUCACAUUGAAUCUGUACAUAAUAGGCACUAAGUACUUACUGAAUAAAUGAAUUCCAGAAGCAAAAAGAAAGAAGACAGAUGGGGAAAGGAAAUAUGAAAUACUACCAGAGGUGAGCCUAGAAUCAUUGGGAGGAUCCAUGGAGACCAAAAGUGGGUCCUUUGAAAAGGAGGUCUCAAGCAGAAGUAUAUUCACAGGCAGGGAACUAUAUUUAAGCCUUCAAAGAAAGCAUUUGAAGGCAGAGAACAUCUCAAUUCCCUGUCUCCCAACUGAAUUUGACCCCAUACUUUCUUUUAGAAAUAGGACUCCAUUUUUACCCUCUUGUUAAGCAAGUCAUAGAUCAAUUUGCCUUUUUUUUCCCUACACCAUUUUCCUCCAAUACUACCUAAAGAACCCUUCUCUAAAUUUCCACCAUCAAUCCCAAUAAUGAUAUAACAAGCUCAGAAAGAUCUCCCAUAUUUGGCCUAAACAUAGCUUGUUCCAAAUGUAGGCAGGUUGGGUCCAAAAAUGAGUUUCCAGGAAAAAAAAAAAAGAAUAUAUAGUAUACACUGAAAAUACCUGAU